CCUACGGGGGGCAGCAGUGAGGAAUAUUGGUCAAUGGACGAGAGUCUGAACCAGCCAAGUAGCGUGAAGGAUGACUGCCCUAUGGGUUGUAAACUUCUUUUAUAUGGGAAUAAAAUGUUCCACGUGUGGGAUUUUGUAUGUAACAUAUGAAUAAGGAUCGGCUAACUCCGUGCCAGCAGCCGCGGUAAUACGGAGGAUCCGAGCGUUAUCCGGAUUUAUUGGGUUUAAAGGGAGCGUAGGUGGAUUGUUAAGUCAGUUGUGAAAGUUUGCGGCUCAACCGUAAAAUUGCAGUUGAAACUGGCAGUCUUGAGUACAGUAGAGGUGGGCGGAAUUCGUGGUGUAGCGGUGAAAGGCUUAGAUAUCACGAAGAACUCCGAUUGCGAAGGCAGCUCACUGGACUGCAACUGACACUGAGGCUCGAAAGUGUGGGUAUCAAACAGGAUUAGAUACCCCAGUAGUC
rnacentral:rRNA from 1 species